rnacentral:rRNA from 1 species
AUACGGAGGACGCGAGCGUUAUCCGGAUUCAUUGGGUUUAAAGGGUGCGCAGGCGGCCGUGCAAGUCAGCGGUGAAAGCCCGGGGCUCAACCCCGGAAGUGCCGUUGAUACUGCAUGGCUGGAAUGCGGUCGAGGCGGGCGGAACGUGGCGUGUAGCGGGGAAAAGCGUAGAUAUGCCACAGAACGCCGAUAGCGGAGGCAGCUCGCCAGGCCUGCAUUGACGCUCGGGCACGAAAGCGUGGGGAUCGAACAGGAUUAGAUACCCUGGUAGUCCACGCCGUAAACGAUGGGCGCUCGUCGUCGGCGGCAGACAGUCGGCGGCCAAGCGAAAGCGAUAAGCGCCCCACCUGGGGAGUACGGUCGCAAGGCUGAAACUUAAAGGAAUUGACGGGG